rnacentral:rRNA from 1 species
UACGAAGGGUGCAAGCGUUAUCCGGAAUCACUGGGCGUAAAGGGCGCGUAGGCGGCAAUUCAAGUCAUCUGUGAAAUCUCCGGGCUUAACUCGGAACGGUCAGAUGAUACUGCUUUGCUAGAGUGCAGAAGGGGCAAUCGGAAUUCUUGGUGUAGCGGUGAAAUGCGUAGAUAUCAAGAGGAACACCUGAGGUGAAGACGGGUUGCUGGGCUGACACUGACGCUGAGGCGCGAAAGCUAGGGUAGCAAACGGG